UGGGGAAUAUUGCACAAUGGAGGGAACUCUGAUGCAGCGACGCCGCGUGAACGAAGAAGGCUUUCGAGUCGUAAAGUUCUUUUAUAUGGGAAGAUAAUGACGGUACCAUAAGAAAAAGCCCCGGCUAACUACGUGCCAGCAGCCGCGGUAAUACGUAGGGGGCUAGCGUUGACCGGAAUCACUGGGCGUAAAGGGUUCGCAGGCGGAAAUGCAAGUCAGGUGUAAAAGGCAGUAGCUUAACUACUGUAAGCAUUUGAAACUGCAUAUCUUGAGAAGAGUAGAGGUAAGUGGAAUUUUUAGUGUAGCGGUGAAAUGCGUAGAUAUUAAAAAGAAUACCGGUGGCGAAGGCGACUUACUGGGCUCAUUCUGACGCUGAGGAACGAAAGCGUGGGUAGCAAACAGG
rnacentral:rRNA from 1 species